UUAUGGCUACUCCAAACAUGUCCAACUCACAGAUGUUUUGCAAAGCUGAAAUCCUUGCCCUUUACCAUGGGUUAUGUCUUGGCAUUACUCGUAAACUCCAAUCGUUGAUAGUGAAACUGACUCCCAGAGUCCCAGGUACUAAUCUCACUACUUCUAUAGAGAAGAAACAGAAAAUACUCAUUUCUCUCUGUUAUGCUUGCAGGUUGAUGCUACGUGAACUUCAAGUGCCCCAGUUCCACCACACAUUCCGGGAGGGUAAUGGCGCGGCAGAUGCUCUCGCAAAAUAUGACAAAAAUUUACCUCAUCAUCAUCCCCAAGAUGUCUUAGUUUUUGAAAAUACCCUCCCCCUUACUUUCAAAUCUUAAUUUAGAUUUUGACGUAACAGGUUCAGUCCGGUGACAGAAUUAGGAUUUUCAUUAAGGGCAGUCAAAAUAUAAAGAAAUAAACUCACCAAGAAGUCAAGUGGUGUCAUUAUAUAAUAUAUAUAUUUUAUUUUUUUUAAAUUACCGAGUUAAACAGUAUAAUUUUCAGAUGAAGAGGUGUCAACCGAUACUACUUGGGUGCAUGUGGCUCCGCCAUUGGUUCAGUCCCAUCUGUGUACUCUUUUAC
rnacentral:lncRNA from 1 species